GACGGACGCUGGCGGCGUGCUUAACACAUGCAAGUCGAACGGAAAGGCCCUGCUUUUGUGGGGUGCUCGAGUGGCGAACGGGUGAGUAACACGUGAGUAACCUGCCCUUGACUUUGGGAUAACUUCAGGAAACUGGGGCUAAUACCGGAUAGGAGCUCCUGCUGCAUGGUGGGGGUUGGAAAGUUUCGGCGGUUGGGGAUGGACUGGCGGCUUAUCAGCUUGUUGGUGGGGUAGUGGCUUACCAAGGCUUUGACGGGUAGCCGGCCUGAGAGGGUGACCGGCCACAUUGGGACUGAGAUACGGCCCAGACUCCUACGGGAGGCAGCAGUGGGGAAUAUUGCACAAUGGGCGGAAGCCUGAUGCAGCAACGCCGCGUGCGGGAUGACGGCCUUCGGGUUGUAAACCGCUUUCGCCUGUGACGAAGCGUGAGUGACGGUAAUGGGUAAAGAAGCACCGGCUAACUACGUG
rnacentral:rRNA from 1 species